rnacentral:rRNA from 1 species
AGCCAUGGGCAGGUUGAAGGUUGGGUAACACUAACUGGAGGACCGAACCGACUAAUGUUGAAAAAUUAGCGGAUGACUUGUGGCUGGGGGUGAAAGGCCAAUCAAACCGGGAGAUAGCUGGUUCUCCCCGAAAGCUAUUUAGGUAGCGCCUCGUGAACUCAUCUUCGGGGGUAGAGCACUGUUUCGGCUAGGGGGUCAUCCCGACUUACCAACCCGAUGCAAACUACGAAUACCGAAGAAUGUUAUCACGGGAGACACACGGCGGGUGCUAACGUCCGUCGUGAAGAGGGAAACAACCCAGACCGCCAGCUAAGGUCCCAAAGUCAUGGUUAAGUGGGAAACGAUGUGGGAAGGCACAGACAGCCAGGAUGUUGGCUUAGAAGCAGCCAUCAUUUAAAGAAA